rnacentral:rRNA from 1 species
CCGUGGGGAAUAUUGCACAAUGGGGGAAACCCUGAUGCAGCGAUGCCGCGUGCACGAAGAAGGCUUUCGAGUCGUAAAGUUCUGUUCUUAGGGAAGAAAAUGACGGUACCUAAGGAGAAAGCACCGGCUAAAUACGUGCCAGCAGCCGCGGUAAUACGUAUGGUGCAAGCGUUGUCCGGAAUUACUGGGCGUAAAGAGUUCGUAGGCGGUCAAAUAAGUCAGGAGUGAAAGGCUACGGCUCAACCGUAGUGAGCUUUUGAAACUGUUUGACUUGAGUACUGGAGAGGAAAGUGGAAUUCCUAGUGUAGCGGUGAAAUGCGUAGAUAUUAGGAGGAACACCAGUGACGAAGGCGGCUUUCUGGACAGUAACUGACGCUGAGGAACGAAAGCGUGGGGAGCAAACAGGAUUAGAUACCCUGGUAGUCCACGCCGUAAACGAUGAGAACUAGGUGUUGGUCGAACGAUCAGUGCCGCAGCUAACGCAAUAAGCACUCCGCCUGGGGAGUACGAUCGCAAGAU